UACGUAGGAGACGAGCGUUAUCCGGAUUUACUGGGCGUAAAGAGCGUGUAGGAGGCUGGCCAAGUUGGAUGUAAAAUCUCCCGGCUUAACUGGGAGGUGUCGUUCAAAACUGGAAGGCUAGAGUACUGUAGAGGUAAUCGGAACUCCGGGAGUAGCGGUGAAAUGCGUAGAUAUCCGGAAGAACACCAGAGGCGAAAGCGGAUUACUGGACAGAAACUGACACUGAGACGCGAAAGCCAGGGUAGCAAAC
rnacentral:rRNA from 1 species